rnacentral:tRNA from 1 species
GGUUCCAUGGUGUAAUGGUUAGCACUCUGGACUCUUAAUCCAGGAUCCGAGUUCAAAUCUCGGUGGAACCU